GCCCACGUAGCUUAAGUGGUAGAGCAGACGAUUCGUAAUCGUCAGGUUACCGGUUCGACUCCGGUCGUGGGCU
rnacentral:tRNA from 1 species